GGGAACUCAUUCUAUCGACUGAACCGCCCCUAGGUUCAAGUCUUAGUCACUCAUUGAUUGCAGAACCUACAUAUUGGCAAACAUACUCUAUUUGCAGGUCAGAGGGAUCGAGGGAUCCAUGUUCCAUUUGCAGGCCUCGCAGGUCAAAUGUCGCAUUCACUAAUUCUCCGAGGCUCACUUCUGUUGUACGGCCGUAGUAGCGUAUUCGAUUCACCCAACAAGAACAUGCCCUUAUCACCGCUGCCCAAGUCUUGAAGAUCCUCUAAAAAGGUCUUCUCUCUGUUGGACCUAAAGCCCCUUUAAAGCCAUGAAAGCUAAAGAGACCAAG
rnacentral:lncRNA from 1 species